rnacentral:rRNA from 1 species
UACGUAGGUCCCGAGCGUUGUCCGGAAUUACUGGGUGUAAAGGGUGCGCAGGCGGUCUUGUGCGUCAGAAGUGAAAUAUCACGGCUUAACCGUGAGGGUGCUUUUGAAACGGCGAGACUUGAGUACGGGAGAGGAUGAUGGAAUUCCUGGUGUAGCAGUGAAAUGCGCAGAUAUCAGGAGGAACACCGGUGGCGAAGGCGGCGACCUGGUCCUUGACUGACGCUGAGGCGCGAAAGCGUGGGGAGCAAACAGG